rnacentral:rRNA from 1 species
GUGCGGGUCCUUUGGGCCCAACCUCCCAUCCGUGUCUAUUGUACCCUGUUGCUUCGGCGGGCCCGCCGCUUGUCGGCCGCCGGGGGGGCGCCUCUGCCCCCCGGGCCCGUGCCCGCCGGAGACCCCAACACGAACACUGUCUGAAAGCGUGCAGUCUGAGUUGAUUGAAUGCAAUCAGUUAAAACUUUCAACAAUGGAUCUCUUGGUUCCGGCAUCGAUGAAGAACGCAGCGAAAUGCGAUAACUAAUGUGAAUUGCAGAAUUCAGUGAAUCAUCGAGUCUUUGAACGCACAUUGCGCCCCCUGGUAUUCCGGGGGGCAUGCCUGUCCGAGCGUCAUUGCUGCCCUCAAGCCCGGCUUGUGUGUUGGGUCGCCGUCCCCCUCUCCGGGGGGACGGGCCCGAAAGGCAGCGGCGGCACCGCGUCCGAUCCUCGAGCGUAUGGGGCUUUGUCACAUGCUCUGUAGGAUUGGCCGGCGCCUGCCGACGUUUUCCAACCAUUCUUUCCAGGUUGACCUCGGAUCAGGUAGGGAUACCCGCUGAACUUAAGCAUAUCAAUAAGCGGAGGAA